rnacentral:rRNA from 2 species
UGGGGAAUAUUGGACAAUGGGCGCAAGCCUGAUCCAGCCAUGCCGCGUGAGUGAUGAAGGCCCUAGGGUUGUAAAGCUCUUUCGCACGCGACGAUAAUGACGGUAGCGUGAGAAGAAGCCCCGGCUAACUUCGUGCCAGCAGCCGCGGUAAUACGAAGGGGGCUAGCGUUGUUCGGAAUCACUGGGCGUAAAGGGCGCGUAGGCGGCCGUUCAAGUCGGGGGUGAAAGCCUGUGGCUCAACCACAGAAUGGCCUUCGAUACUGGAUGGCUCGAGACCGGAAGAGGUUGGUGGAACUGCGAGUGUAGAGGUGAAAUUCGUAGAUAUUCGCAAGAACACCGGUGGCGAAGGCGGCCAACUGGUCCGGUUCUGACGCUGAGGCGCGAAAGCGUGGGGAGCAAACAGGAUUAGGUACCCUGGUAGUCCACGCCGUAAACGAUGAAUGCUAGCCGUUGGCGCGCUUGCGCGUCAGUGGCGCAGUUAACGCUUUAAGCAUUCCGCCUGGGGAGUACGGUCGCAAGAUUAA